UACUUCGGGAUAAGCCUUGGAAACGAGGUCUAAUACCGGAUAUGAGCACCUACCGCAUGGUGGGUGUUGGAAAGUUUUUCGGUGGGGGAUGGGCUCGCGGCCUAUCAGCUUGUUGGUGGGGUAAUGGCCUACCAAGGCGUCGACGGGUAGCCGGCCUGAGAGGGCGACCGGCCACACUGGGACUGAGACACGGCCCAGACUCCUACGGGAGGCAGCAGUGGGGAAUAUUGCACAAUGGGCGAAAGCCUGAUGCAGCGACGCCACGUGAGGGAUGACGGCCUUCGGGUUGUAAACCUCUUUCAGCAGGGAAGAAGCGAAAGUGACGGUACCUGCAGAAGAAGCGCCGGCUAACUACGUGCCAGCAGCCGCGGUAAUACGUAGGGCGCAAGCGUUGUCCGGAAUUAUUGGGCGUAAAGAGCUCGUAGGCGGUCUGUCGCGUCUGGUGUGAAAUCCCAUGGCUCAACUGUGGGCUUGCAUCGGGUACGGGCAGACUAGAGUGCUGUAGGGGAGACUGGAAUUCCUGGUGUAGCGGUGGAAUGCGCAGAUAUCAGGAGGAACACCGAUGGCGAAGGCAGGUCUCUGGGCAGUUACUGACGCUGAG
rnacentral:rRNA from 1 species